UUGGAAUUGUGGAAAGUAUUUCUCUGAAAGC
rnacentral:piRNA from 1 species